rnacentral:rRNA from 1 species
UACGUAGGGUGCGAGCGUUGCCCGGAUUUAUUGGGCUUAAAGGGCGCGUAGGCGGUCACGCACGUCCGUUGUGAAAUCGCUCGGCUCAACUGGGCGGGGUCAGCGGAUACGGCGUGGCUGGAGCAAGCUAGGGGGCAAUGGAAUUCCCGGUGUAGUGGUGGAAUGCGUAGAUAUCGGGAGGAACACCAGUGGCGAAGGCGGUUGCCUGGAGCUUUGCUGACGCUGAUGCGCGAAAGCGUGGGGAGCGAGUCCGG